ACAGGUCUUCGGAUGCUGACGAGUGGCGAACGGGUGAGUAAUACAUCGGAACGUGCCUAGUAGUGGGGGAUAACUACUCGAAAGAGUAGCUAAUACCGCAUGAGAUCUACGGAUGAAAGCAGGGGACCUUCGGGCCUUGUGCUACUAGAGCGGCUGAUGGCAGAUUAGGUAGUUGGUGGGGUAAAGGCUUACCAAGCCUGCGAUCUGUAGCUGGUCUGAGAGGACGACCAGCCACACUGGGACUGAGACACGGCCCAGACUCCUACGGGAGGCAGCAGUGGGGAAUUUUGGACAAUGGGCGAAAGCCUGAUCCAGCAAUGCCGCGUGCAGGAUGAAGGCCCUCGGGUUGUAAACUGCUUUUGUACGGAACGAAAAGCCUGGGGCUAAUAUCCCCGGGUCAUGACGGUACCGUAAGAAUAAGCACCGGCUAACUACGUGCCAGCAGCCGCGGUAAUACGUAGGGUGCAAGCGUUAAUCGGAAUUACUGGGCGUAAAGCGUGCGCAGGCGGUUUUGUAAGACAGUGGUGAAAUCCCCGGGCUCAACCUGGGAACUGCCAUUGUGACUGCAAGGCUAGAGUGCGGCAGAGGGGGAUGGAAUUCCGCGUGUAGCAGUGAAAUGCGUAGAUAUGCGGAGGAACACCGAUGGCGAAGGCAAUCCCCUGGGCCUGCACUGACGCUCAUGCACGAAAGCGUGGGGAGCAAACAGGAUUAGAUACCCUGGUAGUCCACGCCCUAAACGAUGUCAACUGGUUGUUGGGUCUUAACUGACUCAGUAACGAAGCUAACGCGUGAAGUUGACCGCCUGGGGAGUACGGCCGCAAGGUUGAAACUCAACGGAAUUGACGGGGACCCGCACAAGCGGUGGAUGAUGUGGUUUAAUUC
rnacentral:rRNA from 1 species